AGGAGUAAGAAACAGAGGAAACAGAGCCAAAGUUUCUAGCCAGAGGCUAUCAGAGAAGAAGGAGCAGAGAAGAAUAGUGGAGCUUCCAGUCACACAGAAGCAAGGUCAUACAAGUGAGGUCAGCUUCCAGUCAUGAGGUUUGUAUAAGCAGAAGACAACCGGUCCAGCUGAGGGGUAUGUGCUGGAGACGUCAAGUUCAGCUGGAAGGAGCUUGUAUCUGGACAUUUUCAGUCAGCUGACACUCAGGAAGACAAUUUCCUGAACUGUGACAGCACACAAAUGUACGAGUACCUGAAGGAAGCCGAGCUCCAUCUCGGGCUGUCUUUGUUCAUGAAGGAUUGUAUAUGCUGGCAAAAUACAUGCUGUGACGUUCC